UAUUGUUGUUUGAUGGAAGUAUGUUUUUUUUAGGGUAACUUGCUAAGUGGUAACUAAUAACUACCACAAGUUUUUACAGCCAGUGGAAAGGCUUGAGGUUUCUUCUAAGACAAUGAAAGAACUUGGUAUGACAGAUUAAUAAAGGCAGCAUGUGGUCUAUUAUAUGAACAGUAGACUUUAAGGAGACAGGGAGGGUGGAGAGGGACCAAGUAAAACAUUUCUACAAUGGCUCAAGUCAAAGUUGAUUAUGACAUAGACAAAGACAAGAAAUAAAUAGAAGUUAUCAAAAAGGCUUGGUUUGGAAGAUCUCUUAGAGAUAGGAAUGAAAAGAGGGGGGUGGUGGGAGAAAGAACUACAGAAAUGUUCCAGAUUUACUACUCGAUAUAUAUUUUUAAAAAAAUUCUCCAAAGCUCAGAAUAGAGAAUUUGCCAAAAAGCCCAUCACUCAUGAUUCAUUUGUCAUAAGCCUCUACUCAUUACCAUGAAAUUAUUCAGUCAUAAUUGCUGUCUUACUGAAGCAUACAGUUGACACAGUGAAGUCUCUGCUUUCACAGAACUUUAUACUUCUGAGUAAUGACUUUGUCUAUGCCAUGGGAUGGACGUCCUAUUCAUAUUGUGUCAAUAAACCUCAAUUAACAAUGUAAAAUUAAUGAAAAUAAUGUGAGUUAUUUAUAUUAGUUUAUGUGGUAGAAGAGUACUUAAUGACAACAAACUUGGUGUAUGUGAAUAUUAAAUUAUUGUAAAUUAUUUAAAAACAAUAAGAACUAGCCUUACAUUUCACCCCCCUGGACACUGUUUUCAAGAGAAGGAAGGAAACAUUCAAGAAAAAAUAAGAUAUAACUUAGCAUAAAUAAACAGAAAGAAUAUAAAUCUCUUUCACUUUUCUUUUUUUUAAUUUGGCAAUAGAACUGUUGAUAUUACCACACUAUCUGGCUCUCUCUUUUUCCUUUAUCAGUAAACUACCCACAUUUUAACUGGGCACAUUCCUGUCAAUCUGAUGAGAAUCUAUUUCAUACCCUGCUUUAGCUGGUAGUCUGUCAAGGAAAUGAGCUGAACAUGUCUGUGUACAGCUUUUGUGCCAUCCCUGGAUGAGCGAGCUGUCUGCCUCUAUGUUCUCCACAAAAUGGAAUAUAGCUGUACACCCAAGCCAAGUUAUGGAGGCUGGGAAGACCUAGAAUGUGGCAUCACUAUUUGGAAACCAUGCCGAUUACCGACCGAGCUCUCAAUGGAAAAAUGCAGUCGGCGUGAACCACGCACGAACACAGCAGAGAAAGAAGAAAACACACACCACGAGGAACCCUAAUAGGACAAUACAUUAUAAGUCACAGUGCUACGGAGAAACCCAGUAGCCACAUGGAAGCAGAGACCAUGCAUAUGCAUCUACUCCGCAGCUCUGUGAAUGUCAGCAGCUCCCACGGACUGGAGAUCCCGUGAGAUCCCGUGAGAUCUCACCCAUAGCCUCAUGGUACAUCCACUUGGUGUGCUGGGAGAGUCAGGAUGAGGACCUGAGAAGAACAGCAGCUUGAACCUGACUUCAUUUAACAGCCCACUGCCCUCUUGCCAAGAACCCAUCACAGACCUUCCCAGAAGAGAGGGAUGAGCCUCACCUAUGAAUAAGUCCUCAGAAACUCAAAUUUGAUUCUAAUGGAUUGUUUUCUCAGAAAGACUGAGCAUGUCCCCCCACAUCUCUGUCAUUUCCCACAGUAGUAACCUCUGCAGAUGCCACAUAGAAAACAAAACAAAACAAAAAAACAUGAGGUUGGUGGGCAGAUAGGCAGGGUAUAAACAAACAGCCUUGUAACCCAGAAGCUGUGUGAUAUACAGUAAACUUCACAACACUGAAAAGAUGUCCUAUCUGUUAAAAUGGGGUAAUAACAACUACCCGAAUGUUUAGGAAUAGAACUUCAAUAAAUGAUACAUUUUAUAGUACAGCAGACCAUCCUGUAAAGGUUUCAUCCUUCACUGUGGUGAUAAAUAUCCCAAACCACAUUGAAAAGCAUUGCAUCUACAUUUAUCUACACUGUAACUGUACUGUAAAUCAUGGGGGAGGGGAGAAUCAUAAAAACACCACCUGUCACCGUGUCAUUAAAGCAAGUUGGAAGUGAUACUUACAGAAACACAGCAAGAGCACCCCCAGUCACACAGUUCAAUCUCUUAGCAAGCGUUUUCUUUCUAGCCCAGUGGUUCUCAGUUUGGAAUUUUUGGCACUGCCUAGAGAUAGUUUUGUUGUUAAAACUGAGAAAAGAGCCGGGCGUGGUGGCACACGCCUUUAAUCCCAGCACUCAGGAGGCAGAGGCAGG
rnacentral:lncRNA from 1 species